GAUCAUGGCUCAGGAUAAACGCUGGCGGCGUGCCUAAUACAUGCAAGUCGAUCGGAAGCGGAGCAAUCCGCUUUAGAGGCGAACGUGUGAGUAAGACAUAAGCAACCUGGCCACAAAGACUGGGAUAACACUUGGAAACGAGCGCUAAUACCGGAUAAGUAUCAGCGGGGCAUCCCGCUGAUAUAAAAGGGAGAGAAACGCGAGUGGAUGGGCUUAUGGUGCAUUAGUUAGUUGG
rnacentral:rRNA from 1 species